AUUGAACGCUGGCGGCAUGCCUUACACAUGCAAGUCGAACGGUAACAGGUCUUCGGAUGCUGACGAGUGGCGAACGGGUGAGUAAUACAUCGGAACGUGCCCAGACGUGGGGGAUAACGAGGCGAAAGCUUUUCUAAUACCGCAUACGAUCUAAGGAUGAAAGCAGGGGACCGCAAGGCCUUGCGCGUUUGGAGCGGCCGAUGGCAGAUUAGGUAGUUGGUGGGAUAAAAGCUUACCAAGCCGACGAUCUGUAGCUGGUCUGAGAGGACGACCAGCCACACUGGGACUGAGACACGGCCCAGACUCCUACGGGAGGCAGCAGUGGGGAAUUUUGGACAAUGGGCGAAAGCCUGAUCCAGCAAUGCCGCGUGCAGGAUGAAGGCCUUCGGGUUGUAAACUGCUUUUGUACGGAACGAAAAGGCUCUGGCUAAUACCUGGGGCACAUGACGGUACCGUAAGAAUAAGCACCGGCUAACUACGUG
rnacentral:rRNA from 1 species